AGCAGCCGCGGUAAUUCCAGCUCCAAUAGCGUAUAUUAAAGUUGUUGCAGUUAAAAAGCUCGUAGUUGAAUUUCGGGAUCAGUUGAUCGGUCGUGCCUCGGUACGUACUGGUCAAAUUGAUUCCUACCUUCUGACGAACCACGAUGUCAUUAAUUUGAUGUCGCGGGAAAUCAGGACUGUUACUUUGAAAAAAUUAGAGUGUUUAAAGCAGGCUCGCGCUUGAAUACAUUAGCAUGGAAUAAUGAAAUAGGACGUUUGAUUCUAUUUUGUUGGUUUCUAGGAUCGACGUAAUGAUUAAUAGGGAUAGUUGGGGGCAUUAGUAUUCAAUUGUCAGAGGUGAAAUUCUUGGAUUUAUUGAAGACUAACUACUGCGAAAGCAUUUGCCAAGGAUGUUUUCAUUAAUCAAGAACGAAAGUUAGGGGAUCGAAGACGAUCAGAUACCGUCGUAGUCUUAACCAUAAACUAUGCCGACUAGGGAUCGGAUGAUGUUAAUUUUUUCAAUGACUCAUUCGGCGCCUUA
rnacentral:rRNA from 1 species